UUAACAUUGAUGAACGGGAUAGUAGUUCAUGCCGGAUAGUCACAGCGAGCCGGAAGGGUGGAAGCCGGUACGAAUGGCGUGAAUGAAGCGGACCCGGGAAAUGGUUUGCCGAACCUGGAACAAGUGUAGGCAAAUCCGGCAACAGGCCGUUAUACGUAUAGAGUGGCUAAUUAUGGUUAGCACUUAGAGUGGCACCGCGGGAACCAAAGGUCUCUCGUCUCUUUU
rnacentral:ncRNA from 1 species